GGGAAGUUUUUAUUGAUUGAAUACAGUCAAAUCCCCGAUGAGUUGAAUGACGGUGUCUCGAAUAUUGUGCAUAACUCGGAAAGUACCUGUUGGUCCUGACCAUUCCCUGUUAUAGUUGUCAUCAUUUGAAUACGGUUACACGAAUUCGUCUCAUAAAUA